rnacentral:lncRNA from 1 species
AGAAUCCCUGAAUGGUUUGGGUUGGGAGGGACCUUAAAGCCCAUCCAGUCCCAUCCCCUGCCAUGGCAGGGACACCUUCCACUAUCCCAGGCUGCUCCAAGCCCUGUCCAGCCUGGCCUUGGACACUGCCAGAGGUGGGGCAGCCCCAGCUGCUCUGGGCAGAAGGUGCCAGGGUCUCACAGCCAAGAAUUCCUUCCCAAUAUCCCAUCUAUCCCUGCCCUCUGGCAGUGGGGAGCCAUUCCCCUUGUCCUGUCCCUCCAUCCCUUGUCUCAGAGUUCCUCUCCUGCUCUCCUGGAGCCCCUCUGGGCUCUGGAAGGGGCUCUCAGGUCUCCCUGGAUCCUUCAUUUCUCAGACUGGGCACCCCCAGCCCUCAGCCCGGUUCAGAGCAGAGUUGUUGCCCUUUGCUGUGGCGUUUCCCCGGGUGGGUUUUGGCUCUCCCAUCCCUGCCAUUGCCCACGGGAGCUGCAGGACAGGACUCCUGAGCCGACCCAGCGGGGGAACCCCCGAGGCACCUCCAUUUCUCCUGAUGUUUCCAGCCUCCGUCCCUUGCCCCGAGCUGGGGCGGGCGGGGGAGCAGCUCGGAGCUUGGGAAAAGCCCCGAGGAGCCGCAGGCCGAGCCCGGCAGGGCCGGCUGGGCACGCCGCAGCUUGCCGGGAUGCGGGCGGGCUCUCCCGGAGCCCGGGGCUCAGCCCGUGUCCCCGGGCACGGAGGCCGAUGGAGCUGCGGGGCCGCUUCCCAAAGCCGACAGCGCGGGGCAGCAGCGCCUCGGCAUCGCUCCCUGCUGCCUGUGCCUGGGUGCACUGCGAUGUGCUCCUUGGGUUCAGCCGCUUUCCCUCUCUCGGCAGGAGCAGCCCUCGCCGCGAUGCCGGAGCCGUGAGUAGCUGCGCUCCCCGGGAUCCCCAAAGCCUCGCCCGGCUGCGCUUGUCCCUUCGGGGAGGAUCCGCUGGGAGACCCUGCCCUGCCCCAGACUCUGUGCCAUCCCCCUUGCAAAAACCGGCUUUAAAUGCAAAUUGUUUGCCCUUUCAAUGUCCCAGUUCAAACCUCGGGGCUUUCCCAGAUCCCCAAAUGCAGAUUGGAGGGGAGGGAGCACCUCUGGAUUUGCCGUGA